rnacentral:rRNA from 1 species
UGCAAGUCGAGCGGGACCGACGGGAGCUUGCUCCCUUAGGUCAGCGGCGGACGGGUGAGUAACACGUGGGUAACCUGCCUGUAAGACUGGGAUAACUCCGGGAAACCGGGGCUAAUACCGGAUGCUUGAUUGAACCGCAUGGUUCAAUCAUAAAAGGUGGCUUUUAGCUACCACUUACAGAUGGACCCGCGGCGCAUUAGCUAGUUGGUGAGGUAACGGCUCACCAAGGCGACGAUGCGUAGCCGACCUGAGAGGGUGAUCGGCCACACUGGGACUGAGACACGGCCCAGACUCCUACGGGAGGCAGCAGUAGGGAAUCUUCCGCAAUGGACGAAAGUCUGACGGAGCAACGCCGCGUGAGUGAUGAAGGUUUUCGGAUCGUAAAACUCUGUUGUUAGGGAAGAACAAGUACCGUUCGAAUAGGGCGGUACCUUGACGGUACCUAACCAGAAAGCCACGGCUAACUACGUGCCAGCAGC